CCUACGGGAGGCAGCAGUAGGGAAUAUUGGGCAAUGGAGGCAACUCUGACCCAGCCAUGCCGCGUGAACGAAGAAGGCGCUAUGCGUCGUAAAGUUCUUUUAGAGGGGGCGAAAACACUUGAUUCAUCAAGUACUGACGGUACCUUCGGAAUAAGCACCGGCUAACUCUGUGCCAGCAGCCGCGGUAAUACAGAGGGUGCAAGCGUUAUCCGGAAUCACUGGGUUUAAAGGGUGCGUAGGCGGGAUUAUAAGUCAGAGGUGAAAUCUCGUCGCUUAACGACGGAAUUGCCUUUGAUACUGUUUUUCUUGAAAUUUGUUGAGGUUGGCGGAAUGAGACAUGUAGCGGUGAAAUGCUUAGAUAUGUCUUAGAACACCGAUUGCGAAGGCAGCUGACUGGACAAUAUUUGACGCUGAGGCACGAAAGCGUGGGGAUCAAGCAGGAUUAGAUACCCUGGUAGUCCACGCCCUAAACGAUAUUUACUUGCUGUUUGUCUUUCGGGAUGAGUGGCGAAGCGAAAGCGAUAAGUAAACCACCGUGGGGAGUACGCCGCAAGGGUGAAACGUUAAAGUGAAAUUGACGG
rnacentral:rRNA from 1 species